rnacentral:rRNA from 1 species
CCUACGGGGGGCAGCAGUGGGGAAUAUUGCACAAUGGGCGCAAGCCUGAUGCAGCCAUGCCGCGUGUGUGAAGAAGGCCUUCGGGUUGUAAAGCACUUUCAGCGGGGAGGAAGGCGUUAAGGUUAAUAACCUUGGCGAUUGACGUUACCCGCAGAAGAAGCACCGGCUAACUCCGUGCCAGCAGCCGCGGUGAUACGGAGGGUGCAAGCGUUAAUCGGAAUUACUGGGCGUAAAGCGCACGCAGGCGGUCUGUCAAGUCGGAUGUGAAAUCCCCGGGCUCAACCUGGGAACUGCAUUCGAAACUGGCAGGCUAGAGUCUUGUAGAGGGGGGUAGAAUUCCAGGUGUAGCGAUGAAAUGCGUAGAGAUCUGGAGGAAUACCGGUGGCGAAGGCGGCCCCCUGGACAAAGACUGACGCUCAGGUGCGAAAGCGUGGGGAGCAAACAGGAUUAGAUACCCGGGUAGUC